rnacentral:rRNA from 1 species
UACGUAGGGUGCAAGCGUUAAUCGGAAUUACUGGGCGUAAAGCGUGCGCAGGCGGUUAUGUAAGACAGGUGUGAAAUCCCCGGGCUUAACCUGGGAAUUGCAUUUGUGACUGCACGGCUAGAGUGUGUCAGAGGGGGGUAGAAUUCCACGUGUAGCAGUGAAAUGCGUAGAGAUGUGGAGGAAUACCGAUGGCGAAGGCAGCCCCCUGGGAUAACACUGACGCUCAUGCACGAAAGCGUGGGGAGCAAACAGG